AGCAGCCGCGGUAAUUCCAGCUCCAAUAGCGUAUAUUAAAGUUGUUGCAGUUAAAAAGCUCGUAGUUGAAUUUCGGGAUCAAUUUAUUGGUCGUACCUUUUGGUACGUACUGAUUUUAUUGGUUUCUCCCUUCUGACGAACCAUGAUGUCAUUAAUUUGAUGUCUUGGGGAAUCAGGACUGUUACUUUGAAAAAUUAGAGUGUUUAAAGCAGGCUCACGCUUGAAUACAUUAGCAUGGAAUAAUGAAAUAGGACGUUUAAUUCUAUUUUGUUGGUUUCUAGGAUUGACGUAAUGAUUAAUAGGGAUAGUUGGGGGCAUUAGUAUUCAAUUGUCAGAGGUGAAAUUCUUGGAUUUAUUGAAGACUAACUACUGCGAAAGCAUUUUUGCCAAGGAUGUUUUCAUUAAUCAAGAACGAAAGUUAGGGGAUCGAAGACGAUCAGAUACCGUCGUAGUCUCAACCAUAAACUAUGACCGACUAGGGAUCGGAUGAUGUUAAUUUUUAAUGUACUCAUUUCGGCGC
rnacentral:rRNA from 1 species